rnacentral:rRNA from 1 species
UACAGAGGUCUCAAGCGAUGUUCGGAUUCAUUGGGCGUAAAGGGUGCGUAGGUGGCGCCGUAAGUCAGGUGUGAAAUUUCGGAGCUUAACUCCGAAACUGCAUUUGAUACUGCGGUGCUUGAGGACUGGAGAGGAGACUGGAAUUUACGGUGUAGCAGUGAAAUGCGUAGAGAUCGUAAGGAAGACCAGUGGCGAAGGCGGGUCUCUGGACAGUUCCUGACACUGAGGCACGAAGGCCAGGGGAGCAAACGGG